rnacentral:rRNA from 1 species
GAUGAACGCUAGCGGCAGGCCUAACACAUGCAAGUCGAGGGGUAGAACACUUCGGUGUUUGAGACCGGCGCACGGGUGCGUAACGCGUAUGCAAUCUACCUUGUACAGGGGAAUAGCCCAGAGAAAUUUGGAUUAACGCCCCAUAGUAUAUAACCUUCGCAUGUUGGUUAUAUUAAAGUUCCAACGGUACAAGAUGAGCAUGCGUCCCAUUAGUUAGUUGGUAAGGUAACGGCUUACCAAGACGAUGAUGGGUAGGGGUCCUGAGAGGGAGGUCCCCCACACUGGUACUGAGACACGGACCAGACUACUACGGGAGGGAGCAGUGAGGAAUAUUGGUCAAUGGGCGCAAGCCUGAACCAGCCAUGCCGCGUGCAGGAAGACGGUCCUAUGGAUUGUAAACUGCUUUUAUACAGGAAGAAACCCUCCCACGUGUGGGAGAUUGACGGUACUGUAGGAAUAAGGAUCGGCUAACUCCGUGCCAGCCGCCGCGGUAAAAC